UUGGUUUGGGUUCAAGCCCCGUCUCCUUAA
rnacentral:tRNA from 1 species